GGACGGGUGAGUAACACGUGGGUAACCUGCCCUCAAGUGGGGGAUAACAUUUGGAAACAGAUGCUAAUACCGCAUAGAUCCAAGAACCGCAUGGUUCUUGGCUGAAAGAUGGCGUAAGCUAUCGCUUUUGGAUGGACCCGCGGCGUAUUAGCUAGUUGGUGAGGUAAUGGCUCACCAAGGCGAUGAUACGUAGCCGAACUGAGAGGUUGAUCGGCCACAUUGGGACUGAGACACGGCCCAAACUCCUACGGGAGGCAGCAGUAGGGAAUCUUCCACAAUGGACGCAAGUCUGAUGGAGCAACGCCGCGUGAGUGAAGAAGGCUUUCGGGUCGUAAAACUCUGUUGUUGGAGAAGAAUGGUCGGCAGAGUAACUGUUGUCGGCGUGACGGUAUCCAACCAGAAAGCCACGGCUAACUACGUGCCAGCAGCCGCGGUAAUACGUAGGUGGCAAGCGUUAUCCGGAUUUAUUGGGCGUAAAGCGAGCGCAGGCGGUUUUUUAAGUCUGAUGUGAAAGCCCUCGGCUUAACCGAGGAAGCGCAUCGGAAACUGGGAAACUUGAGUGCAGAAGAGGACAGUGGAACUCCAUGUGUAGCGGUGAAAUGCGUAGAUAUAAUGGAAGAACACCAGUG
rnacentral:rRNA from 1 species